UCGAGGAGAGCCACAGGGAUUGCCCCAGUAACGGCGAGUGAAGCGGCAACAGCUCAGAUUUGAAAUCUGGCCCCUAUGGGGUCCGAAUUGUAAUCUGUAGAGGAUGCUUUUGGCGACGCGCCUUCCGAGUCCCCUGGAACGGGGCGCCAGAGAGGGUGAGAGCCCCGUAUGGUUGGACGCCGAACCUCUGUAAAGCUCCUUCGACGAGUCGAGUAGUUUGGGAAUGCUGCUCAAAAUGGGAGGUAAAUUUCUUCUAAAGCUAAAUACCGGCCAGAGACCGAUAGCGCACAAGUAGAGUGAUCGAAAGAUGAAAAGCACUUUGAAAAGAGGGUCAAAUAGCACGUGAAAUUGCUGAAAGGGAAGCGCUUGUGACCAGACUUGCGCCCGGUUGAUCAUCCAGCGUUCUCGCUGGUGCACUCUGCCGGGCUCAGGCCAGCAUCGGCUCUCCCAGGGGGAUAAAGGUCGCGGGAACGUAGCUCUCUCCGGGGAGUGUUAUAGCCCGUGGCGGAAUGCCCUUAGGGGGGGCCGAGGCCCGCGUUCGCAAGGAUGCUGGCGUAAUGGUCACCAGCGACCCGUCUUGAAACACGGACCAAGGAGUCAAGCAUUAGGGCGAGUCUUUGGGUGCAAAACCCGCAGGCGCAAUGAAAGUGAACGGAGGUGAGAGCUUCGGCGCAUCAUCGACCGAUCCUGAUGUUCUCGGAUGGAUUUGAGUAAGAGCCUUACCGCUUGGACCCGAAAGAUGGUGAACUAUGCCUGAAUAGGGUGAAGCCAGAGGAAACUCUGGUGGAGGCUCGCAGCGGUUCUGACGUGCAAAUCGAUCGUCAAAUUUGGGCAUGGGGGCGAAAGACUAAUCGAACCAUUAACAGUAUACUAGGUGGUUGAGAGGCCUGGUCGGUAAGAUCAGGCCUAGUUGUCAGCGCUUAUAGCGCCGAUAGCGACACUGUCAAACUGUCGGGAACCGCCUGAUUGAGGCCUAAGCUACCGCUGGCCCCCCGAAAGACGGGGCUCAGCACCAGGUGUAACGAGCCUGGGUAUGGUAAAAACGCUUAGGUUAGGGCAUACCCGCAGCCAACUCCUCGUGUCCCGCCCCCUCCGGCGGACAGUGGAGGCAGUUCACAGACUAGACGGCAGUGGGUCCGGCAAGGCGAUUCGGCGCCGCCGGGCUUAAGAUAUAGUCGAUGGCGUCCAAGAAAUUGGGGCUACGUCAGCCUAUG
rnacentral:rRNA from 1 species